UUUAACGCGAAGAACCUUACCAGGUCUUGACAUCCCUUGCUAAUCCUAGAAAUAGGACGUUCCCUUCGGGGACAAGGUGACAGGUGGUGCAUGGUUGUCGUCAGCUCGUGUCGUGAGAUGUUGGGUUAAGUCCCGCAACGAGCGCAACCCUUAUUAUUAGUUGCCAGCAUUUAGUUGGGCACUCUAGUGAGACUGCCGGUGACAAACCGGAGGAAGGUGGGGAUGACGUCAAAUCAUCAUGCCCCUUAUGACCUGGGCUACACACGUGCUACAAUGGCAUAUACAACGAGUCGCCAACCCGCGAGGGUGCGCUAAUCUCUUAAAGUAUGUCUCAGUUCGGAUUGUAGGCUGCAACUCGCCUACAUGAAGUCGGAAUCGCUAGUAAUCGCGGAUCAGCACGCCGCGGUGAAUACGUUCCCGGGUCUUGUACACACCGA
rnacentral:rRNA from 1 species